rnacentral:rRNA from 1 species
ACGGUAGCACAGAGAGCUUGCUUCCUCCGGGUGACGAGUGGCGGACGGGUGAGUAAUGUCUGGGAAACUGCCUGAUGGAGGGGGAUAACUACUGGAAACGGUAGCUAAUACCGCAUAACGUCGCAAGACCAAAGAGGGGGACCUUCGGGCCUCUUGCCAUCAGAUGUGCCCAGAUGGGAUUAGCUAGUAGGUGGGGUAACGGCUCACCUAGGCGACGAUCCCUAGCUGGUCUGAGAGGAUGACCAGCCACACUGGAACUGAGACACGGUCCAGACUCCUACGGGAGGCAGCAGUGGGGAAUAUUGCACAAUGGGCGCAAGCCUGAUGCAGCCAUGCCGCGUGUAUGAAGAAGGCCUUCGGGUUGUAAAGUACUUUCAGCGGGGAGGAAGGUGUUGUGGUUAAUAACCACAGCAAUUGACGUUACCCGCAGAAGAAGCACCGGCUAACUCCGUGCCAGCAGCCGCGGUAAUACGGAGGGUGCAAGCGUUAAUCGGAAUUACUGGGCGUAAAGCGCACGCAGGCGGUCUGUCAAGUCGGAUGUGAAAUCCCCGGGCUCAACCUGGGAACUGCAUUCGAAACUGGCAGGCUGGAGUCUUGUAGAGGGGGGUAGAAUUCCAGGUGUAGCGGUGAAAUGCGUAGAGAUCUGGAGGAAUACCGGUGGCGAAGGCGGCCCCCUGGACAAAGACUGACGCUCAGGUGCGAAAGCGUGUGGAGCAAACAGGAUUAGAUACCCUGGUAGUCCACGCCGUAAACGAUGUCGAUUUGGAGGUUGUGCCCUUGAGGCGUGGCUUCCGGAGCUAACGCGUUAUAUCGACCGCCUGGUGAGUACGGCCGCAAGGUUAAGACUCAAAUGAAUUGACGGGGGCGCGCACAAGCGGUGGAGCAUGUGGUUUAAUUCUAUGCAACGCGAAGAACCUUACCUGGUCUUGACAUCCACAGAACUCUCCAGAUAUGGAUUGGUGCCUUCUGCACUGUGAGACAGGUGCUGC